CCCAGACUCCUACGGGAGGCAGCAGUGGGGAAUAUUGCACAAUGGGGGAAACCCUGAUGCAGCGACGCCGCGUGAGUGAAGAAGUAUUUCGGUAUGUAAAGCUCUAUCAGCAGGGAAGAUAAUGACGGUACCUGACUAAGAAGCCCCGGCUAACUACGUGCCAGCAGCCGCGGUAAUACGUAGGGGGCAAGCGUUAUCCGGAUUUACUGGGUGUAAAGGGUGCGCAGGUGGCAGGGCAAGUCAGAUGUGAAAGCCCGGGGCUCAACCCCGGUAUUGCAUUUGAAACUGUCCGGCUAGAGUGCAGGAGAGGUAAGCGGAAUUCCUAGUGUAGCGGUGAAAUGCGUAGAUAUUAGGAAGAACACCAGUGGCGAAGGCGGCUUUCUGGACUGAAACUGACGCUGAGGCACGAAAGCGUGGGGAGCGAACAGGAUUAGAUACCCUUGUACCC
rnacentral:rRNA from 1 species